GUGCUUCCAGUUUUGCUUCCAGUGGGUCGUGGAACACUAGACCCCUUUCCCCAAUCCCACGGCCGCCUCCAUCCUCCCGUGCUCCACCCCGAGCGUGCCCGGGCUCCGCCUCCUCCUCCUCCUCCUCCUCCUCCUCCACCAUCCCUUCUCUUCUCACUCUUCCUCCUGUCGCAGUCGCCUCCUCUUCUCCCACAGCCCCCCGCUCCUUCUCACAGCCGCCACACCAUUCCUCCCUUCCGCCCCCUCCUCCUUCCCGGAACCCCACCACGGCGCUGACUUGCAGGCAAAGGACGACAACGGCGGCGCUCUCCUCAUCCCCUCCACUCCCUCGACAACGGUGGCGGCGGCGCCCUCUGGUGGCGGAGGAGGGGGGAGAUGGUGGAGCAGCGGCGACCUUCCCCUCAUGCAUCCCAUCCCCCCCGUCAUCCCGGAUCCUACCGGACCCGAGGCAUGCGGGCGCGGCGGCGACCUGCAAGGGAAGGACGACGCUCGAAUCGAUCCAGCGCCAUGGAUCGGUCCCUGCGGGAGAAAGAGAAAAUGAGGGAGAGAGAAGGAAGGAGAGGAAGGAGAAAGAGAGAGGAAAGAGGAGAGGGAGGUGCAGCGUUGACCGACGGCUCGUGCGGUGGUGCGGCAGACGGCCAUUUCGAUGAGAUCCACCACCUUGUGAGGUUUUCAUCUGCCCCGGGUUGCGAGGAAGCCGCGGGAGGAGGAGAGACCUCAGUGCAAGGAAGGUACGGAGGAGGAGCUCAACCAGCGUGUCUUCAGCCGGAGGAAGGAAGCAGCGGAUGCGAUCCAGGAGGCGGGUCGGCUCGGCCCAGCCAUGGAGCUGCCGCUGCGGACUCCCCGCCGGCCUCCUUCGUCUUCAUGUGGAUUUGCAUGGCAAGUGAUGUUGUGUUGCCAAUGACACAUCUAGAAUUUCCGUUUGUGACUCCUGUAGGUAGCGAGUCCAGUGACAUCCUGAUCAUUCAGUCAUUGAGGAUUUGGAAAGAGGCAUCAAGGCAGCAAAUGGGGCAGUAUUUUGAUCUCAUUUCGUGUGAUGCAUUUAUAAAUGGGGCAGUAUUUUGAUCUCAUUUCCACUAAUUCAUUUAUUAUUUGUUGUCUUCAUUACAUGCUACCAAGUUUGGGUUGCUUUUCUUAUAUCAUUAUUUUGUAGUCUGCUUCACCGUGAACUUGAAUGAAGACCCAUAUUGUUAUCUAAUUUGUGAAAGUCACUGAGCUGCUGCUACGCGCACUAGAAGAUUGACUGCUCUAUGUGGCACAGAUAUUCCUGAAUUUUUCUUUGUAGUGGUUGGGUCCUGCCAUACUAUGUGGCACAGAUGUUCCUGGAUUUUUCUUUGUAGUGGUUGGGUCCUGCCAUAAAACCUGUAACAGCAGCAAGAUGCAGUUCUCGGCAAAUGGCUUUUAGAUCUGAGAAAGAAGAUGAACAGGAGAAUCCAAUAGAAGAAUUUGGUGAAGAACAAGGGUUGCGGAUGGAGGAGUAUGUUAUUUCGACGGUCUUCUGUUUUGCUGUUGCGUGUGCCUUCAGGUCCAUCAGUCUGUUAUUGCCGUUAUCUUCUUGGGAGUACUUGAGAAGGCGUGGCUGGGAAUGUGGGGACACGCCAUGGCAGAGGCGUGUGGUCGGCAGGAGGAGUCAGGGAGGCAUGAAGGUGGACAUGUGUAUGUUAUCAUGGCAUUGACACAUUUCGCUCCAGCGAUGCUACAUACUAGGGAUUCGUUGGAAGCCACACAGGGCACCCGAGAAGGAGAGGAGAAUGCUCUGAACAGAGGAAAUGAUAAGUUUCAUUGUUUUGUUUUAAGAGAAAGGGAGUUGAUAUGUAGCCCCCUGGCUUAUGUGUAUGGCCAAAGAAAUCAUGAUUCUAUACACACACAUAUUUUUAAACAAAACCUAUGUAUUUUUUGCUCAAACAAUCACCCGGAAGUGCACAUAUUUUCAAUGCGUA